AUUGAACGCUGGCGGCAUGCCUUACACAUGCAAGUCGAACGGCAGCACGGGAGCAAUCCUGGUGGCGAGUGGCGAACGGGUGAGUAAUAUAUCGGAACGUGCCCGGUCGUGGGGAUAACGUAGCGAAAGCUACGCUAAUACCGCAUACGAUCUACGGAUGAAAGCGGGGGAUCGCAAGACCUCGCGCGAUUGGAGCGGCCGAUAUCAGAUUAGGUAGUUGGUGAGGUAAAGGCUCACCAAGCCGACGAUCUGUAGCUGGUCUGAGAGGACGACCAGCCACACUGGGACUGAGACACGACCCAGACUCCUACGGGAGGCAGCAGUGGGGAAUUUUGGACAAUGGGCGCAAGCCUGAUCCAGCAAUGCCGCGUGCAGGAUGAAGG
rnacentral:rRNA from 1 species